UACGUAGGGGGCGAGCGUUGUCCGGAUUUAUUGGGCGUAAAGAGCGUGUAGGCGGCCAGGUAGGUCUGCUGUGAAAACUCGAGGCUCAACCUCGAGACGUCGGCGGAAACCAUCUGGCUAGAGUCCGGAAGAGGAGAGUGGAAUUCCUGGUGUAGCGGUGAAAUGCGUAGAGAUCGGGAGGAACACCAGAGGCGAAGGCGGCGACCUGGACAGGCACUGACACUCAACUACGAAAGCGGUGGGGAGCAAACAGG
rnacentral:rRNA from 1 species